CACGUGCUACAUGGGGUGUACAAGGAGGUAUGCAAUACUGUGAAGUGGAGCCAAUCUCAAAAACAUCUCUCAGUUCGGAUUGUAGUCUGCAACUCGACUACAUGAAGCUGGAAUCGCUAGUAAUCGUGAAUCAGCCAUGUCACGGUGAAUACGUUCCCGGGUCUUGUACUCACCGCCCGUCACACCAUGGGAGUUGUAUUUGCCUUAAGUCGGAAUGCUAAACUGGCUACCGCCCACGGCAGAUGCAGCGACUGGGGUGAAGUCGUAACAAGGUAACCGUAGGUGAACCUGCGGUUGGAUCACCUCCUUA
rnacentral:rRNA from 1 species